GCUGUAGCUCCGUAGUAUAGCAUCUGACUCCCACCCAGAAGGUCCCAGGUUUAAUUCCCAGCAUCUGCA